rnacentral:lncRNA from 10 species
GUGAUAAGAUGCUUGAACAGCUCGACAUGCGUCGGGAUGUCCAGGAAAUUUUUCGCAUGACCCCCCACGAGAAGCAGGUCAUGAUGUUCAGUGCUACCUUGAGCAAAGAGAUCCGUCCAGUCUGCCGCAAGUUCAUGCAAGAUGUAAAUACCCUUCUACCUUCUCUCCCUCCACUCCCCGCCCGCUGCCUCCUCCCCUUCCUCGCCCUCUUCCUCAGACUCCCUUGUCAUUCAAGUGCCAAGAAGGCGGCUUGUGCCCAACUGGGAGUAAUGACUCCUUGAAGAGACAUACAGAAGCAGAGACAGCUAGUGUUAGGGCCUGCGCGGGUGCCAGGGAAACUCCGGAAGACUUGGUCGGGUUAAUGUGAGAGCGGGUAGUGUUCGACUUUUUCAUAAAUCACAACAUUUUUGAACCUCUUCUCCCUUUGGGGGAGGGCAGGAUUUUUCUGCCCUACCACCCACCCAUCCAUCGUCUCUUACAUGCACCCUACAGCCACGCACCCUCAAGGUGGCAUCGAGCGUACAGCUGGAGCCUUCUGCUCACCAAAACUCCUACUUCCCGGUGGCAGGAGAGCAAGAGAGGGACAGACAGAUGGCAGGGCAUGUCCAAAAGAAGAGCAUCAGCACAAAUGAAUCCUCCCCUUCCCCACCUCCAGGGGUGGGGGCCUUUGGCACCUCAAUCCCCGAUACCCUACUCCUUCCCACCCACAUCUCCUUGCACCCAUCUGGAACCUCGGUUGAUGUGAGCCGGCAACAGAGAAGCACCGUGGCGCGGCGAGGGAAUGCAGACGGCACCCAGCGGUGGAUGGCGGCAGCGGAGGCCGCGGGGAAACCUGACCAGGAAGCUGAGGACCAAACCAGCCUCUUUUUCCGUUCCCGGUUUUUUUCCUGAACCCAACGCGUGCCGUGCCCCGUUUCCCCCAAUAUGUGUUGGGGAGGGGUGUCCUGAAUGGGGUGGUAGAUUUUUUUUCUUAAAAAAAUUUUUUUGUUUUUUUUAAUACUCAGAGGAGAGGGACAUAGGAAAGGUAAAGUGGAUGUAAUCGGGUGGUUGUUAGGGUUUGGGGCUAGGUGGGGCCAAUUGCAUAAGCAGUGGAGUGUGUUCUUCCCCUCCCUGCAGUGUUCCUUCCCGUGGGAUGAUCACUCUUUAGCUGUAUUUGGGGCUAGAAUGAGAUUUGAAGGAGGCCAUGGAACUUCUCUUUAGAAAGCCUGCCUUGGCUGGGCCUGGUGGCUCACCUCUAAUCCCAGCACUUUGGGAGGCCAAGGUGGGAGGAUUGCUUGAGCCCAGGAAUUUGAGACUAGCUGGGGCAGUGUAGUGAGACUUUGUCUCUACCAGAAAAACCGGGCGUGGUGGCGCAUGCCUGUAGUCCCAGCUACUUGGGAAGCUGAGGCAGGAGGGUUUGCUUGAGCCCGGGACGUGGAGGUGGCAGUAAGCUGUAAUUGUGCCACUGUACUCCAGCCUGGGUGAUAGAGAGAGACCCUGUAUC